rnacentral:misc_RNA from 1 species
GGAGUCCAGUUUCCUCAAAGGCCUCCUGCAGUUCCACCAAAUAAUCCUACACAGCAGCAAACUAAUACCUCACAAAAUGGAGUAAUAAGAUUAUCUGAGCAGGAGGAUGUUGCUAGAGUGGAACCCCAGAUAUUACCAGAAUCUAGUAUAAUUGAAAAGGCUAGCAAUGCAUUAGAAGUUCUGAAAGAAGUUCUUGAUGCUGUAGAUCCUCGGCAUCCUGAGGGGGCAAGAGAUGAGUUUACC